GGUUAAGUGACUAAGCGUACACGGUGGAUGCCUAGGCAGUCAGAGGCGAUGAAGGGCGUGCUAAUCUGCGAAAAGCGUCGGUAAGGUGAUAUGAACCGUUACAACCGGCGAUACCCGAAUGGGGAAACCCAGUGUGUUUCGACACACUAUCAUGUCAUGAAUACAUAGUGGCAUGAGGCGAACCGGGGGAACUGAAACAUCUAAGUACCCCGAGGAAAAGAAAUCAACCGAGAUUCCCCCAGUAGCGGCGAGCGAACGGGGAGGAGCCCAGAACCUGAAUCGGCUUGUGUGUUAGUGGAAGCGUCUGGAAAGUCGCGCAGUAAAGGGUGAUAGCCCCGUACACUAAAAUGCACAGGUCGUGAGUUCGAUGAGUAGGGCGGGACACGUGACAUCCUGUCUGAAUAUGGGGGGACCAUCCUCCAAGGCUAAAUACUCCUGACUGACCGAUAGUGAACCAGUACCGUGAGGGAAAGGCGAAAAGAACCCCGGCGAGGGGAGUGAAAUAGAACCUGAAACCGUGUACGUACAAGCAGUGGGAGCACCUUCGUGGUGUGACUGCGUACCUUUUGUAUAAUGGGUCAGCGACUUAUAUUUUGUAGCAAGGUUAACCGUAUAGGGGAGCCGUAGGGAAACCGAGUCUUAACUGGGCGAAUAGUUGCAAGGUAUAGACCCGAAACCCGGUGAUCUAGCCAUGGGCAGGUUGAAGGUUGGGUAACACUAACUGGAGGACCGAACCGACUAAUGUUGAAAAAUUAGCGGAUGACUUGUGGCUGGGGGUGAAAGGCCAAUCAAACCGGGAGAUAGCUGGUUCUCCCCGAAAGCUAUUUAGGUAGCGCCUCGUGAACUCAUCUUCGGGGGUAGAGCACUGUUUCGGCUAGGGGGCCAUCCCGGCUUACCAAACCGAUGCAAACUCCGAAUACCGAAGAAUGUUAUCACGGGAGACACACGGCGGGUGCUAACGUCCGUCGUGAAGAGGGAAACAACCCAGACCGCCAGCUAAGGUCCCAAAGUCAUGGUUAAGUGGGAAACGAUGUGGGAAGGCAUAGACAGCCAGGAUGUUGGCUUAGAAGCAGCCAUCAUUUAAAGAAAGCGUAAUAGCUCACUGGUCGAGUCGGCCUGCGCGGAAGAUGUAACGGGGCUAAACCAUGCACCGAAGCUGCGGCAGCGACGCUUAGGCGUUGUUGGGUAGGGGAGCGUUCUGUAAGCCGUUGAAGGUGGCCUGUGAGGGUUGCUGGAGGUAUCAGAAGUGCGAAUGCUGACAUAAGUAACGAUAAAGCGGGUGAAAAGCCCGCUCGCCGGAAGACCAAGGGUUCCUGUCCAACGUUAAUCGGGGCAGGGUGAGUCGACCCCUAAGGCGAGGCUGAAAAGCGUAGUCGAUGGGAAACAGGUUAAUAUUCCUGUACUUGGUGUUACUGCGAAGGGGGGACGGAGAAGGCUAGGCUAGCCGGGCGACGGUUGUCCCGGUUUAAGCGUGUAGGGGGUGUGACCUGGUAAAUCCGGUUGCAUAUCAACCCUGAGGCGUGAUGACGAUGCACUACGGUGCAGAAGUAGUUGAUGCCCUGCUUCCAGGAAAAGCCUCUAAGCUCCAGGUAACAUUAAAUCGUACCCCAAACCGACACAGGUGGUCAGGUAGAGAAUACCAAGGCGCUUGAGAGAACUCGGGUGAAGGAACUAGGCAAAAUGGUGCCGUAACUUCGGGAGAAGGCACGCUGGCAUGUAGGUGAAGUCCCUUGCGGAUGGAGCUGAAGCCAGUCGAAGAUACCAGCUGGCUGCAACUGUUUAAUAAAAACACAGCACUGUGCAAACACGAAAGUGGACGUAUACGGUGUGACGCCUGCCCGGUGCUGGAAGGUUAAUUGAUGGGGUCAGCCGCAAGGCGAAGCUCUUGAUCGAAGCCCCAGUAAACGGCGGCCGUAACUAUAACGGUCCUAAGGUAGCGAAAUUCCUUGUCGGGUAAGUUCCGACCUGCACGAAUGGCGUAAUGAUGGCCAGGCUGUCUCCACCCGAGACUCAGUGAAAUUGAACUCGCUGUGAAGAUGCAGUGUACCCGCGGCAAGACGGAAAGACCCCGUGAACCUUUACUAUAGCUUGACACUGAACAUUGAGCCUUGAUGUGUAGGAUAGGUGGGAGGCUUUGAAGCGUGGACGCCAGUCUGCGUGGAGCCAUCCUUGAAAUACCACCCUUUAAUGUUUGAUGUUCUAACUCGGCCCCAUAAUCUGGGGUGAGGACAGUGUCUGGUGGGUAGUUUGACUGGGGCGGUCUCCUCCCAAAGAGUAACGGAGGAGCACGAAGGUUAGCUAAUCACGGUCGGACAUCGUGAGGUUAGUGCAAAGGCAUAAGCUAGCUUGACUGCGAGAGUGACGGCUCGAGCAGGUACGAAAGUAGGUCUUAGUGAUCCGGUGGUUCUGAAUGGAAGGGCCAUCGCUCAACGGAUAAAAGGUACUCCGGGGAUAACAGGCUGAUACCGCCCAAGAGUUCAUAUCGACGGCGGUGUUUGGCACCUCGAUGUCGGCUCAUCACAUCCUGGGGCUGAAGUAGGUCCCAAGGGUAUGGCUGUUCGCCAUUUAAAGUGGUACGCGAGCUGGGUUUAGAACGUCGUGAGACAGUUCGGUCCCUAUCUGCCGUGGGCGUUGGAAGAUUGAGAGGGGUUGCUCCUAGUACGAGAGGACCGGAGUGAACGCACCACUGGUGUUCGGGUUGUCAUGCCAAUGGCAUUGCCCGGUAGCUAAGUGCGGAAAAGAUAAGCGCUGAAAGCAUCUAAGCGCGAAACUUGCCUCAAGAUGAGUCUUCCCUGGGCCUUUAAGGUCCCUGAAGGAACGUUUAAGACUAAGACGUUGAUAGGCUGGGUGUGUAAGUGCAGCGAUGCAUUGAGCUAACCAGUACUAAUGAUCCGUGAGGCUUAACCUU
rnacentral:rRNA from 1 species